AGUUCCUAUACAACACACACGUCCUGGGCAUUGUCUUGCUAUCGCUGGAAAAAGUAAAAAGAAAGAGAGGCAGAGCAGACGGCCAGGCAGACCUGCGGUGUGUGACACUGCGAUAUUAUAUGGAAAAUUAGACUCAUUCUCUGAGGGAGUCUACGAGGUAACUGGGGCCAGGAAACAUUUACAGCUGCGAUGCCUUUCUGAGCGGACCGGAGUGCGCGUUCCUCAAGUAAUUGUUUAAGUGCCAAUUCUCGGAUCUUGGAACUCCUAGCCUCGGUGGAUCUAUCCAGUUUCUGAUCAGACCAGACGUAGGACAACCAAGUUUCACGAUGCCGCGUCUUAUGCCAAGAUUUGCCAGCAACUUUUACCAGUACCUCAUCCGAACUGCGGAGAAGAAAGUGCCGCCAAAGUUGAUGCCGAUGUGGGAACAUCCUGCAGGACCGAAGACGAUAUUUUUUUGGUGUCCCUUCGCGAAAUGG